UGGGUUAGACGGGGCAGGGCAAACGCCGACCCCGCCGUCCCGAGGGCUUCCCCCGUCCCGCCGGGGCAGGCGCCUCACCUGGUGCUCCUCCAGCUCCUCUACCAGUACCUGGGGACAGAGAGACACACAGACACACACAAAGGACGUGAGUCCGGCGGCCGCAGCGCAGCGGCUCCGCCGCCCCGUCCCGUCCAGUCCCGUCCCGUCGCCGCCCGCCCGGCCCGGCCGGAGCGCCGGCUCCGCGCUCACCUGGGCGGAUUUCUUGCAGGGUCCGGACUGCAGGAACCGUGCGAUCAGAAAUGCCAAAUCCAGCUGUGGAUGGAACACCCAGGAAAAGGGGUGGCUCUGUGUCCCUGUGUGCUCCGGGCUAUUCCAGCAGAAGGACUGGGAGAACGAUAUCAGUGUCAGGUCCAUCUGCAGCAUCUCUGAAUUCCAACUUUGUACCUCUCAGUGCCUGCAACCCCCAAGUUUUAUAGCAGCAAAUGACUACUGGGUGUAAGUGACCAGGGUUUUGCAUUUUUGGCUUCUCCUGGAAGCCUGGGCACAAAGCAUCUGACUGCAGCUGGGAAUUCAUCACCUCUCUCCCUGGAUAUGCAAAUUUUACUGGAACUGCCUCAGCUAAUAAACAAUUUUAAUAAAAUUUCAUCCCUCUGUAUCCAAUACCCUUUUCCAUAACGUUUUGAGGAUUUUUAUAUUACAUUUUUCAUUUUACAAAAAUAUUGGAAAUAUUGGGAAGGAGUGCAAUAGGGUUUUUUAGAGUGCUGCUUUUAUCGAAAUAAAAGGUUAUAAAGCA